CCAAUAGCGUAUAUUAAAGUUGCUGCAGUUAAAAAGCUCGUAGUUGAAUUUCGGAACCAAUAUGUUGGUCGUGCUUCGGUACGUACUGGCAUUGUUGGUUUCUCCCUUCUGACGAGCCAUGAUGUCAUUUAUUUGGUGUCGUGGGAAAUCAGGACUGUUACUUUGAAAAAAUUAGAGUGUUUAAAGCAGGCUCACGCUUGAAUACAUUAGCAUGGAAUAAUGAAAUAGGACGUUUGAUUCUAUUUUGUUGGUUUCUAGGAUCGAUGUAAUGAUUAAUAGGGAUAGUUGGGGGCAUUAGUAUUCAAUUGUUAGAGGUGAAAUUCUUGGAUUUAUUGAAGACUAACUACUGCGAAAGCAUUUGCCAAGGAUGUUUUCAUUAAUCAAGAACGAAAGUUAGGGGAUCGAAGACGAUCAGAUACCGUCGUAGUCUUAACCAUAAACUAUGCCGACUAGGGAUCGGAUGAUGUUAAUUUUUUAAUGACUCAUUCGGCGCCUUACG
rnacentral:rRNA from 1 species